UACGUAGGGUGCAAGCGUUGUCCGGAAUUAUUGGGCGUAAAGAGCUCGUAGGCGGUCUGUUGCGUCGGCUGUGAAAACCCGAGGCUCAACCUCGGGCCUGCAGCCGAUACGGGCAGACUAGAGUUCGGCAGGGGAGACUGGAAUUCCUGGUGUAGCGGUGAAAUGCGCAGAUAUCAGGAGGAACACCGGUGGCGAAGGCGGGUCUCUGGGCCGAUACUGACGCUGGAGGAAGCGAAAGCGUGGGGAGCGAACAGG
rnacentral:rRNA from 1 species